rnacentral:rRNA from 1 species
AUUGAACGCUGGCGGCAGGCCUAACACAUGCAAGUCGAGCGAGCGGCGGACGGGUGAGUAAUGUCUGGGAAACUGCCUGAUGGAGGGGGAUAACUACUGGAAACGGUAGCUAAUACCGCAUACCAUCAGAUGUGCCCAGUUGGGAUUAGCUAGUGGGUGGGGUAACGGCUCACCUAGGCGACGAUCCCUAGCUGGCCUGAGAGGAUGACCAGCCACACUGGAACUGAGACACGGCCCAGACUCCUACGGGAGGCAGCAGUGGGGAAUAUUGCACAAUGGGCGCAAGCCUGAUGCAGCCAUGCCGCGUGUGUGAAGAAGGUCUUCGGGUUGUAAAGCACGUUCAGCGGGGAGGCGUUACCCACAGAGAAAGCACCGGCUAACUCCGUGCCAGCAGCCGCGGUAAUUC